rnacentral:rRNA from 1 species
GACGAACGCUGGCGGCGUGCUUAACACAUGCAAGUCGAACGGAAAGGCCCUGCUUUUGUGGGGUGCUCGAGUGGCGAACGGGUGAGUAACACGUGAGUAACCUGCCCUUGACUUUGGGAUAACUUCAGGAAACUGGGGCUAAUACCGGAUAGGAGCUCCUGCUGCAUGGUGGGGGUUGGAAAGUUUCGGCGGUUGGGGAUGGACUCGCGGCUUAUCAGCUUGUUGGGGGGGUAGUGGCUUACCAAGGCUUUGACGGGUAGCCGGCCUGAGAGGGUGACCGGCCACAAUGGGACUGAGAUACGGCCCAGACUCCUAUGGGAGGCAGCAGUGGGGAAUAUUGCACAAUGGGCGGAAGCCUGAUGCAGCAACGCCGCGUGCGGGAUGACGGCCUUCGGGUUGUAAACCGCUUUCGCCUGUGACGAAGCGUGAGUGACGGUAAUGGGUAAAGAAGCACCGGCUAACUACGUG